rnacentral:tRNA from 1 species
UCCCUGGUGGUUCAGAUGGUAAAAACUCUGCCUGCAAUGCAGAAGACUCAGGUUGGAUCCCUGAGUUGGGAA